AUGAAGCUGCUCUUAGCUGCUGUUCUCAUCGUCACCAAUUCCUCCACUGGUGUUAAAAUUCUUCAGCCACCUUUUGCAAUCAGUGGAGACCCGGCUGUUUCUUUGCAGUGUGAACAAGAUGACAAAGACUAUAUGUACAUGUGCUGGUACAGACAGAGCAGCAGCGGGGAAAUACAGCUGGUCACAUAUUCUAGUGCUAGAGCUGUUAGGAUUACGGUCGCUCCUUUUAAUAAAACCAAGUACACCAUGUUCGGGCCUGUGGUGCUUCAGACGACUCUGCAGAUACGCCCUGUGGAGGCCGGAGACUCAGCUGUGUAUUACUGUGCCUCCAGGAGAGCACAGUGA